CGUAGGUAAACUGGAGAAAGAAGUUUCCAAUGUAUUCAACUAUUCAUUCUAUUUUUAGAAUCGCUUUAAAGUACGCCGGAGAUUUCAGAUUUUAAGCAAAUUGUCAGCUACCUGCGUUAUUAAGACUUGAUGCUAAGGGCUGUCACUAGGUAGCUAAAAUUCACUAGACGGCGCGGGUGUUUUCUUCGAAGACUGUGCACUGACAUUUCGUUUCGAGACACUGUUCGAGAAUGUAGACGUUAGUUGUUACGGUUUCCUAAAAUGUUUCGUCAUAAAAAUGGUAAUAUAGCCUACAAUUUUAUACUUGGCAACUCCAUCUGAUCCUGUGGUCUGAAAUUGCUGUCAUUUUCCCAAAAUGUCGUCUCUUGCUGUUGGUGACGGCUGUACGUUUCAUCACAUGGAGAAAUACUACAGAACAUCUGUGCUUCUUCAUUGCAGUCCAAUGUGUACAUGGAUUUGUUGCAGCCAGCCAGUUUAAGGUGUUCCUCUUGAAGGCUUGCUACCUGUGCCAGUUGUAGCUUUCGUCACAUGCAGAAAAAGAUCAAUUUAAAGUUUGCCGUCCACUGUGGCAUUCUGUUGCAGCCUUUGCUGGUGAAAGAAGAUUAAUUUGUAUCAAGUUUACCUGUGGCUGUUCGUUGCUACCUGGGUCGUGUAGGGAAGUUGCAGCCAGUUACACAAUACUUAUACACAUACCUUGUACUCCAGCCUCAUCCCAGAACUACUUAAAACCUAACUCCAUACCACUUGAAACCCAUACCUUAUACUCCGGAUGUUUAUGUCAAAUAAAUAAUAAACAUGUUUUGGGGAUUGGGAAAGGAAAGUGGAGGAUGUUGGAGGUGGAAAUUUCAAGUUUGGAUAAAAAACAGUUAAUUUAUAACACUACGAACAUCAACAAUUAAUCUCCAAACCCCAGAAACUUAUACCUUCCAAUUCUUCAGACACCACAAACAUACACCUACUAACCUCAAAUUUAUACCCUAAACCACAAUAACCAAUGUUAAACCCUAUGUCUGUAAUAAAUAAAAAAUUUAAUUCAUAAAA